AAUUGUGGUGCUUUUCUUUCGGGCACAUUUGUUAAGAUUUCAAAUGAGCCUGACUCUGCCACAUAUAUAGGAGCUGGCAAAAGUUCGAUGACAAAGGAAUCUCUCUGUAACCUUUCUUACAUCAAAGGUAGGCUCCACAUGU
ensembl:snoRNA